GUCGUGUAUUUCUGUCACCAUUAUGUUACUAUGAGGUGUCUAGCUGUGGUCUGAGGCCAUCUUGGAAGCCUCAGCAGUGCGGGGUAUGAAUUGCUGCCUGUUCGGUUGUGCGCGGCUCUAGACACCUGUGUGCACAGUGAGCUGCAGAUAGGUGGCGCUGUAGAGCACUGUGGAUAGCGCAUCAUACUGGCGGUAUACUGAACAUGGACUCUAACGUGCGGUUGGAGAUCCGGAGGAGCAUGCAGAGUGCCGUUCUCAUUCUAAGCGGCCUGGAAGGCAAGAGAUUUCCAAUUGACAUUUCAGUGAGCCAGUCAUCCUUACAGAUCCAGUCUCCUGAUAACAGCGAGGAGUUCCUUUUACCACCAGAGGUCAAGCUGGUCCCCGCCACAUGCAGAUAUGUACAGCACGUCUCUGGUGAAGGGCUGUAUAUGCGACUGAAGACCCAAGCUGUGCCUCCUGCAGAAAUCGCUCCAACUUUUAAAGAACUCCUGAAAACCAAAGAGAAAUUCACAUUUUACUGCCAGUCCUGUGGAGCUGUGGUUCUCCAGCAACAGCAGUUUCUCCGAGUCCUUCCUCUGCCCAGUGAAAACUGGAGCUCUCUGGUUGAAGAAUGGUGCUGCCACCCCGAUCCCUUCGCCAACCGAAGUUGCCUGCCCAAGGUUAACGACUGCUUCCUGGGAGACACGUUCCUUUUGGUGAAUAAAGCAAAUAUUUCCGCCCCCCCUGGAGAGAGUAAUGAGAUGUCAUCUGUUCCUCAUCCCGUUGAUGCAGACGUCUCAAAAUCAAAGGAAAAUACCAAAGUCGUUUGCAAGCGUUGCAAAGCAAUACUGGGAGAGACUGUGUCAUCAGAUGCUGUCAAGUAUUACCUUACUGAAGUGAUUAUUCAGCCCUCUUCUCAAGCAUAUAACAUGAGUUCAAGGAAGCAGUUUGUGGAAAACAUAAUUGUCCAGCUUCUCAUGGAAUUAUCGGCCUCCAGAAGCACCUUCAGGUUCUGUAUUCAAGGACAAGAUGGCAAGCUCUACCUAUUGCUUUGGCUGUUGAAUGUUGACACAGUGUUGGUGGAAUUGAUAAAGUCUGGAAGUGUCGGGUCCUGCUUUUUCUCUGGAAGUUCAUCCUGUGUUUCAAAAAACACUUCAGAAGUUCAGAAUGUUGCAAGGGUGCUAUACAUGACUUGUGUCAACAACACCAAUACAGAGCUUGUGGAUAAAUGGAUGAAUGAAACUGGAGCCCAUUCGCUUACAUUGCCACCCAGUACCUGCUUGGAACUGAUCUUGUUGCUCUCCCUCAACAAUACUUCAUUGCCUCAUUCUUUGCGCUUCAUGAACAACUGGAAGACUUUCGGAUUCCAAGGUUGCGAUCCAAAGAAUAGUCACAGAUUGGCCGUAGGUAUUCUGUACUGAAGAAGUUUCAGCUAAGGAGUCAUUAACAGAAUUAGCCAUCUGGAUGCAGUAAACUGGAGAAUGAGAUAGAGCUAAAGAAGACAGGCCAAAGGUAGCCUACUUGAAGAUAUGAGGAGCUAAUCUCUAAGGACUUGUGCUUCUUAUGAUUGGACACUGCUGUUCUCCAAGGAAACAACAAAUGUGAAUGAAUAUAAAUGACCAAGAAGACAAAUGUCACUUGUCACAUAAUGUGAAAUACAGAUGAGGGUCUGCCAUUUUCAUCACAUGCAUUUGGUAGAUAAGUGUAUAUUUUGGCCAGCAUUCAAAGGAGGGUAUGGGCAACCUUUAAAAAGAAACAUGUCCACUGGGAUCCCAUUAUCUAAUACACAAGAUUUACCAGGCCGGUCCUUAGACUUCACUUACAUGCUGCAGUGUUGUGUCUUUUAAAGAUGACUCUGUUUUCAUCUAGUGGAUGAGAAGAAUUUUAAUGCAAUCUUGGAAUAAUAUAUAGCUGAAGCUUUCAUUUCUCUUUUUAUUUGUCCUUUAUGCCUAUCGAUGAUUCAUUUACAUGAAAUAUGAACACGGCAUUCUCCUAGAGAAAAACUAUGAUGAUAGAAUUAACAUGCUGCACAACUGACACUUAUUAUGGGAUGUGACAAUUGCUGUGCUAUGUCUUCUACACUUGAACAAGAUCUAGGUUUGUCUUCUCAGAGAAAACCUAUUCAUUUUUUUUAAAAGGUUUCAUUUAGACUUUUGUACGACAAUGCAACAAAACAGCAUAGUCAAAAGUUGAGUUUCCAAUAAUAUAGCCAGAUAACAGUAGGCCAAGGCAACAUAAAAAGGGCAAUAAGGGAAUGUAAAUAAUGUAGUCCUUUUGCAGUGAAUUGUAAUGUGAUGGCGAAGUGUAAAAGGGGAUCUGACAGCCGCACCACCUGCACUAGCCUGAAUAUACCGGUUAAUAGUGCGGGUGAUACCGAUUUAAACACAGUUUACCACAUAAAAAUCUGUGCAGCCGUUCUGCAAUGAUGGCAUUCUUUAUGCUGUACUAGCAGUGGUUUUCCCACUCACCCUGGGUGAUAACUCUGUCUCCUUCAUCAAUAUUCAUCCCCUUCUCAGCAUAUUUUGAAGGGGGCAAAGUUAUUGGCCAAAGGGGGCAGAGUUAUCGACCAGAAUUAUCGGGAGAAGCAUUGCUAGAAUAGCAUAAAGAACGCCUCCAUUGCUCAGAAAGGCUGAUUUGCACAUUUUCUUCUGUAAAGAUUUCCAACAGAACAUCUGCACCGAUUUUUAUAGGGCAAACUGUGUUUAAAUUGGCAUCAUCUGCACUAAUUACCUGUAUAUUCAGGUAAGUGCAUGCUGCUUCCAGAUUCCCUUUACAUGGAAAUAAAAUGAUGGAUACCCCCUUGUCCUCCUGUCAUGCCUGUGUUCUCCAUGUCUGUCCCCUGCUGUGCUUCUCUUUCUUGUAUCUUUGUCACACAAGGACUUUCCUGCUCUGCUAAGCCAAUCAGUGGCUAAGGCAGAAGACCACAGCAUCCACUGAUUGGCUUAGCAGGAGGAAGGUCCUUGUGCAAUACAGACACAAGGAAAUGCAGUGAAUCAUGGGACCAUCAUGGAUCAUGACAAGGCAGCGAGGUGGAGAACAAUUUUUUUUAUUUUAGUGCAUUGUUAAAUAGAAAAAAAAUAUCCAGAACACCCCUUUAACAAUACUAACCAACUGCAGAUGAGCUCACACAUUGACCAAUUUGACACACUCACACACACUUGCCCCCACUGUCCCUUGCCUCUUCCAUUGGCAAAAAGAUAAACUUGUAAGUCUCAGUAAUAUAUGUACAUUGCCUGGGUUCAUGAUACAGAUCAAACUUUGUUGAAUUUAUGGGGACAUUUGUGAUUAAUAUAGUGUAUUUUGUUGAAGGGAAUGUAAGAAAUUACCAUUGACCCUUGAGUAAAUGCACGACAUAGUAUAGGCCAGUUUAUUAUUAGUUCUGUUUGACCAGAAGAGCAAAGAACACAAGAACAAACACCACAAAGGCAGAUGGAAGGAAGUACGCAACUGUGUCUGGCACCCUUCUUUCAAUUGGAAACUUCUCACUAUAUAAUUUUCUUUGGGUAUUUUAAAAUUAAGUUUAUGACCUCUAGGUACAUGUAUUAGCAAGGAAUGUCAUGAUUAUAGAAAAGAAAGAUAUGGGCCACACAUCCAAAUUUUAUAAAUACAUUUUUCAUUUCUGUUCUAAACAGCAAUAGAUUAAACAAAGGGACUAACAUUUUGAUUUAACUGUAUAAGGCCACCUGCCACUAAACAGUGACCUUAUAGUUUGGUCCCACAUUCUAGUAGGUAUAGCAGUGGGUAACAACUAUGUAAAGUCUAUGGCUAUUGUGGCAUAUUUGCAUAUUUUGUCCCUUUUUUGUGGUAUCUGCAGUUCACACAUUUGACCGAGGUGUUUUGGGUGGCAACAGACCAUGUGGAACGAUGACUUUUUGUGAUCCUUUUCCUGAUGGUAGUGCUGUGUAGUGUUUGUUGUUGCUGUGGUGCUGUGCCUGUGUGAUGGUAUGGCCAAAAGUUAGAAGGACUCUAAGCUACAUUCAGACUUUGGAAUAUUUCCGUAUGGAGAUUCUGAGGGCUGUUGGUGCCUUGUGAGCAUUGCCAGUCCCCAUAGACCACCAUGUAUUCCCAAUGAAAGAAUGAGCAGCAUUCUUUUGCCAAUGGAAUUUCAGCAGGAAAGCUUCACCACUGAUAUUCCAUUGUGUUCACUGUGCAGUGGAAUCCUAUUGACAGCAAUAUGACUCUACUGCACCUGAAUUUCCAAUUGGAUUUCUUAGCAGAAUUAUGCUCAGGUCCUAGCCUUACCGUAACAGCAUGGGUGGGGUUUUACCACUAUAAAAAAAUCACCCCAUCAGCAAUUUUUCUGUAGUGCUGCAUCUAUAACAGUAGGGGCCCUCUCAAAUGUUGCCGUGAAAUGAAAGAACGUUAUUUUAAUAUGUUAAUACAGAGACUUUCAAUCAAAGAAACAUUUUUCUUUUUUUUCCCAUAAAAUCCUCAGUGUACUGAUUUUUAAACAUUAUUGUUCUCCAUUAUUUAUAUGUAUAUAUAUAUAUAUAUAUAUAUAUAUAUAUAUAUAUAUAUAUAUGAAAAAGAUGGCAUGGUCACUGGUGCCUCUCUUCCCUGCAAACUGCUUUUCAUCUAUCAAGAGAGACCAAGAUGGAACACAGGAAGGGGGGCAGGACUUAGCUAGUUCAAAAGAGAGCCUGGACUGUUUUAGUUUAACCGGUUAACGACCAUGGACGUCUAUACUCGCCCAUGUGCCAUUAAUCGGGUAUAACGCUUGCUCCCGACUCAAGCCCAAAUCAUACCGGCCGCACGGUCAAUAACAUAUGCGCAAAAAGAUUCCAAAGUCCAAAAUAGCAUAUUUUUGGUCACUUUUUUAUACCAUAAAUUUUUUUAUAAAAUGCGAUCAAAAAGAUCACGGCGCAAAAUAUACGAGCCCUAAUACAGCCCCGUACAUGAAAAAAUUAAAAAGUUAUAGGGGUCAGAAGAUGACAAUUUAAAAUGUAUUAAUUUUCCUGCUUGUAGUUAUGAUUUUUACCAGAAGUACGACAAAAUCCAACCUAUAUAAGUAGGGGAUCAUUUUAAUCAUAUGGACUUACAGAAUAAAGAUAAAAUGUAAUUUUUCCUGAAAAAUGCACUGCCUAGAAAUGGAAGCCCCCAAAAUUUACAAAAUGGGGUUUUUUUCUUCAAUUUUGUCGUACAAUUAUUUUUUUCCCGUUUUGCCGUAGAUUUGUGGAUAAAAUGACUGAUGUCAUUACAAAGUAGAAUUGGUGGCGCAAAAAAUAAGCCAUCAUAUGGAUUUUUUAGGUGCAAAAUUGAAAGGGUUAUGAUUUUUAAAAGCUUAGGAGGUAAAAAAAACGAAAGUGCAAAAACAGAAAAACGCUUGGUCUUUAAGGGGUUAAGCUGGGCCUGUCUGCCUCCUCUAGAGCGUUCAUGCUGUGCUCAAGAGUGUCCACAAUGAACCUGGAAGGUAAAGCAAGGCAUUUAUCUGUCACCAUCCAUAAGGUUUUGGGAAGCGGUCCCUUGUGUAAAUGCUUAUGUUCUUACCAUGUACUUAGUUCUGCCGCCUGAAUGUAAUCCCUGCUCCUCCCCUCCCUUAAACUUGUCGUAAUCCUCAUCAGCAACAGUUUAGUGCUUAAACCAGGGGCUUUUUGAUGUAAUUCCUGCCUUGCUGUCAUUAUGUUUCUUAUCUCUGCCCAUAUUGCACCAUGCAAACACAAUGCAUCAAUAACCCCCUUCUUCCUCAACAUUUUAUCUAGUAGUGUAUAGUACUGUGUAAAUCAUCAACACAGUGCAGCCUGUUCAGUCCUGUGCAUUUUCUCUAGCUGUCCUGUGAUUGGCCAGACAAGUAAGUUUUUUACUACAGUAGAAGUCUUUUCAGAAAUGACAGCAGGGUCACCCACACAAACCUAAAUAUACAGGUAUAUAAAAAUUGAUGCAGCCAUUCAGGAGAUACUCAUCUGGUUGCUAAUAUGUUAAUUUCUUCUUCUGCACAAUGGAGGUGGGCUACUGCUGUAUAUGCAAUGCUUUUUCCUGCCCACUGUGAACCAUAGAAGGGGCUCACUAGCAACAGUGAAAGCACAAAAAAUGUUCUUGCCACCACUCUGAAAAGUUAAUGUGACAAAACCAUUGUUUUUUUUUUUUUUUUUCUGAAAAUACAGGUACAAUUGGAAAGAAGAUAAAACAACUUUUUAUUUUUUAAUAUAUAAGUAAAUAGCAGUUCUUCUUUUAAACAUAUUGUCAUUCCAUAAUUUUUUUUAUUUUGCUAUUCCACAUUGUUUUUUUUAUCAAAUAAAGCAACACAU